AAAACACAGCCGUCACGUUCCCUACUCUCUCCAAGAGCUCUGCUAGGGUUUAACCCGAUCUUGAUCUUGUGAGCCCAGCUUCGUCUCCUUGAUUCGUCUUGUUCGUCUGUCCUGGGAACUGUCGCACCUCCGCUGUCGGAGUCGAACCCUUCCUCAAGCUAUUUCUAGAUAGGAGAACCCCUGGUAGUGGUAAUGACGAUAGGAAUGAUACAGCUUGAUGGACUGGACGGGUAUUGGGCUCACUAUGGGGUCCAUCACUGAAGAAUUUAUUUUGCUAUGCUUUUCUUGUCUGUACAAGACCUAGUAUUAUUAGUUCACUAGUAUAUUUUUGUUUUAGGCCGUGUGGGGCCUCUUUUAUGUUUUAUGGAUAUGUUGGGGUAUGGAGUACUUCAUAUCCCAAAUCUUUGUACCCUCUGGAUAUUAUGUAUGCGACGUUUUUAUUAAGUGAGUUUUAUCUAUUUAUUUUGGA